CUGCGUCGCCGCCAAAGGAGAAAUCUGCGCAGAAGGCUUUUUGUUUCGCAACGCGCAGAAGAUAGAGUCACGUGAUGUCAUAGCCCGUUGUGCGGAUGAUUUCAAACGCCGCUGGAGAGGCUGGAGAAACAUGGCGGCGUCUGCAAUGACUUGGAGUGAUAUGCUAAUUUUCAACGCGAACAGCACCAGUACAGCUUGAAUUUUGUGAAGAGUUAGGUGCAUAUGCCUUGUAGGCAACGGAUUCUCCAUUGGAUGCCACUGUCUAUGACCGAAAUACAGGCAUAAACGGCUAUACCGCUCAGCAUCAGCCAUUCAUUGCUGUGUGUGUUUCAGCGUCUCCCAGAGAGUGUGGGAUGUUUUCUCUAUGAGCAGUCUUGGAAUUACUGACUGUCUUAUGCGUUACAGUGUGCCUCGGCGGCAGAACUUGGCCAGUGAAUUCCAGAGGCCGGAAGACACAGAAAGGAACAAUAUAGAGAGACUGGUAGUCAUUGAUAAGGCGUGAAGGAGCGUGAAGAUACACUUGCGUCGAUUCCAUACAAGAUGCCAACUAAUUAUACGGCAAGUAAUAUGGAUGUUUUUUUUUUUUCUUGUGUACAUAACUUUGCGAUGUUGUGAUCACGAUCUGUAUGAACGGGAAUGAUCUGGAUAUAGCACCUUGUCACGUUCUUUCAUUAUUUGUACU